AGUGAACGCUGGCGGUAGGCCUAACACAUGCAAGUCGAACGGCAGCACAGUAAGAGCUUGCUCUUACGGGUGGCGAGUGGCGGACGUGUGAGGAAUACAUCGUAAUCUACUUUUUCGUGGGGGAUAACGUAGGGAAACUUACGCUAAUACCGCAUACGACCUACGGGUGAAAGCAGUGGAUCUUCGGACCUUGCGCGAUUGAAUGAGCCGAUGUCGGAUUAGCUAGUUGGCGGGGUAAAGGCCUACCAAGGCGACGAUCCGUAGCUGGUCUGAGAGGAUGAUCAGCCACACUGGAACUGAGCCACGGUCCAGACUCCUACGAGAGGCAGCAGUGGGGAAUAUUGGACAAUGGGCGCAAGCCUGAUCCAGCCAUACCGCGUGGGUGAAGAAGGCCUUCGGGUUGUAAAGCCCUUUUGUUGGGAAAGAAAAGCAGCAGGUUAAUACCCAGCUGUUCUGACGGUACCCAAAGAAUAAGCACCGGCUAACUUCGUG
rnacentral:rRNA from 1 species